GACGCUUCAUGAAGGGAAGGACUGAAAUGUCUCCGGACGCCUGGUUUUUCCCCGAUGCCCUUGCGAC
rfam:Cavia porcellus supercont2_80 genomic scaffold, whole genome shotgun sequence.